rnacentral:lncRNA from 1 species
AAAUUGAUGAAUUAUAACAGAUCUAGGUAGAAUUUAUCCACCCCCAUCCCUACCCCCUUUUUGGGUAGAUAACAGAAAUGUGCAAUUCACUGUACUAUGGAGACUGGAAGGUCUACUACAUUUAUUGCUGUGCCAGUUCUCCUUAUAAGUUGUUGUUGCUGCUUUUGUUUUAUUUAUUCUGUCUAUGGGUGUGUUUGUUUUCUGUUUGUUUUUCUGUCUUUCUAGGUAGCCUUAGCUGGCCUGAUACUUGCUAUGUAAUCCAAAUUGGCUUUGAACUCCUAGCAAUCCUCCUGAGUUAACUCUCCGUGUGCUGGGAUUACAGGCUCUGACAAAAUGCCUGGGAGAAACAACUUAAGAGAAAAGGGUCUAUUUUGGCUCAUGUCAAAGGAUCCCAACUACGAUGGUGAGGCAGAUAUUGUGGUAGAAGUGGCUGAGUUAAGUUCUUAGUCUGUGUUGAUGUGAGUACCAAGCAGAUGGUCACUUCAUGAGGAGAAAACAGGGAGCUAGACUGGAUCCAGCGGUAUGUAUGGGAAGCUGCUUCUGUUUGCAAGGCCACAUAUUCCUAGUUCACAGCCUCAUACAACAGUGCCACAAGCUGGUGAGUUUUCAAAUACGUGCACUCCCAGGAACAUAAUAUAUGGAAAUAAUCUUGCAUCUCCUCACUGGUAAUCUUUGUCCGGGUGAACUGGAAGGGUCCUUAGAGUAGGAGUGAGCUGGAUUGCUAAACAGAGUUCCAUUAUUCUCCUAUCAGAUCAAUAAAUUUUCACUUGUUCUGAGGUACUAUUUAUGGAUUAGUAAAAUACCCACAAUAACAUCUACAGACAGAAAGGUAUAGGCUCAGAAAUUAACAGCCUUGAGUUGCAGGUGGAAGGUGCAGAAGCCAAAUUAAAAACAGUCUUUUCAGGCUGAGCUCAGGAGCCUGAAUUUCCAUGCUGUAAGUGGCUGGGAUCCACUGGAGGAUUUUAAUUGUGUAAGUUGACAAGAUCAGAUUUGCUAUUCAGAAAGCACACCCUGGCACAGAUCGGUGGGUGGAAUAGAAAGUGGUUGCCCUGGAGACAGGCAGACCCAUUAGGAAGCUCUGACAAAGAUCCAGGAGAGAGAAAAUGAGGAUAGUGGUUGGAGGAAUGAGCAGAUUCAAAGACAUUUUAGAGGUGGAACGGAUGGUCGGGAGACGCUCAUUCAGUGUAAAUGCUGAAGGAAAGGAAGAACCAAGGAGCGCUGUGGUUUCCAGCUUGGAUUUCUAUAUGGAUAGUGAAUAAUUAAUGAAGAUGUGGCGGGCGGGCAUAAUGGGGACUUAAGAGGGAGGUAGUUGUAGAUGGACGUGAUCAAUAUACAUUUGUUUAAAUGUGUAUAACUUUCAAAGAGUAAGAGAAUUAUUAUUUUAAUAGAUCAAGGUAUAAAAUACAAAAAAAAGUCAAAUGGGGGGGGGGGUUUGCUAAUGAAUUCAUAUGUGACCUGUUGAAUUUGAUGUAUCUUUUGGACUUGUAGGUGAAGAAGUCACAUGUGGUGAAUAUAUUAUCAUCAGAAUGCGGAGCAAUGAAAUGUAAACAGAUAGGAAUCGUCACUAAAGCUCCAACUGCAGCCUCCGGGUGCCAUAGCUUUUGCACCAUCCAUUUGCACCAUCUCUGCAUUGCUCUCAAUCACUGCCACGAGUCUGGUGAUGCGCUAAGCUCGGGGCAGGAUCUCAAGGGCUUUGAGGAUGUCUGCAUCAUCUGUAUUGACCUGCUCCCCAGAUUAAUACCGAAGCACUGCAAUUUCUUGAGGAUUAUCCACCUAGGAGGAAAUGAUACGCUGGCCCAUCCAUAGUAGUCAAGGGAACCACCAUCUCAGAUGGUAGAAACCACUCAGAAGGAUCAACUGCUGCAGACGGGAAGAGGAGCAACCUCGUGAAUAAUUUCGUGACAGGAUAUUGCAGGAGGGACUUUGUCCAAAUGUGUGCAGGGUAGUUGGCUACAGCAACAAGGAUGACGAACACAGAUGAAUUGAUCAGGAUGUAACCAUUCAAAGUUGAGAGGAUUAGAGGACUUCUCCGAGGCGGCUCCAAUGGAUGCCAGCAGAGUUAAAGUGUCCAAUGGAGAGAAGAGAAGGCUUGGGAAAUCCAGAGUCCAUUCAUUCAUCGCCCUCCUCCUAGAACAACAAAAGCGAGCCCCAGUACUCAUCAGCAUGGACUCUGUGUGUAGUCAUCUCCCUUAGUUUCAGAGGUUCCUGCCUACAGCAAAACUUUAGAGGCUUAGAGUUUAACGGUCAUAGCUUAUUCACCUCCAACUGUGUCCUAGUUCAAGAGAAACACUUCACAUAUCUGUAGGGAGAAGAUAAUGAACCAAGGAUACAAGUUAAGCCUUAGCUAAGACCUGUUACUCAGGAAAAAGAGCUAAAACAAGCUGCUUAGAUCAGCACCAAUGUUAGGUAGAGAGAAAAAGAAACGCUGCAUAGAAAUCUUAAGGUUCACAUGUGCUCCAGGCUGGGUCAACAACUUCUAAUUUCCUUUGCCAACCAACCAUGUCUUUGACAGAAAUGAUCCUUCUACAUAGACCACAGAGGGAUCCAAUGGAGGUUUCUCUUCCUGAAUUUGGGGAUUCAGAAUCUGGACAAAUUCCUUUCCAUCAAAGUCCAGUACAAAAGUAGUACCAUGGCAGUCCCUGCAGGGACUUGCAUCACUUUCCCUAGAGAUAUCAAGAGAAUUUUUAGUGAUAAGAAUAUGGCACAAAAUGAGAAAUCCCAUUACUCUUAAGAGAAUCUCUUCCUUCUCAAAGGCACCUGAUUAAUACAUAUAGUACUAUCAGUAAGGCUGAGCAAAAGGAUACUGAUGUUCUGAGUGAUCUUAAAUCAUGUAAUAAUAACUUUAUUCGUAGUAUAGAACGGAAUAUUCCCUAUUAGUAAUCAGUUCCUUUGCCAGAUCCUCAUAGUAUCUUAGUCACUGUUUUAUUGUUAUGAAGAGAAACUUUGACCACAGCACCUCUUAGAAAAAAGGAAGCAUUUAAUCGGGACUUCCUUAUGGUUUCACAGUUUUACAUAAUUGUCAACAUGGCAGAGAACAUGGGGGCACGCAAACAGACAUGGUGCUGGAGAAGUAGCGGAGAAUAUACAGCAACAUAUAGAUACAAAAUAUAGAUACAUAUAGAUACAGAAUAUAGAUACAUAUAGCUACAUAUAGAUCUGCAGGCAGCAGGAAGAGACUGGGACAAGGCCAUACCUUCUAAGGCUUCUCAAGGAGUGUCACUUCCUGAUGACCAAGCAUUCAAGUGUAUGAGCUUAUGGGAGCCAUUCUUAUUCAAGCCACCACACAUAGCAAAGCUGAUAAUGUCAUUUUCUGAAUUAACCAGGCCAAGGCACACUUCUUAGCAACAUGGUUACCUGGUAACCAGAGAUUUUUCUCAUCCCAUGAGAGAUUUCAUUCAAGAACUGAUCUUCUAACAGUUUUGUCUCUCUUAAGAAUGCUACAGACAGGGUGGGGUGAGGCACAGUGCUGAAGCCCCUCAAGUUUCCCAGAGGGAUGAGUCCAUGAAAGACGAAAAUCAUGUGGUCACACUGAGCAUAGACUUCACAAGCAUCAUGCUAGGAUUCCAUUUUCUUUCUCAACACAAUGAUAAAUUCUUCUUCCAAUAAGCAGAAAAUCAUCCAAUGGGAAAAAAAAAUAAAACCAACUAACUUGCAGUCCUUUGGAACAGUUUCAUAGCUUACAGGAUGGCUUCAUAACCCUGGGGACACUCGUUUUGACAUGAAAACUUCCUUCAGAACAGGAAUUCUGAUCCAACAUGUGCUCAGACAUCAUUUCAGUCACUUGCAAAUGAACAAGAAAGCUCAUGUAAAUGAGGAGGCUCAACUCCCAGGCCUGGUGAGUGGGUAAGACAUUCCUCUGCUGGGUUUUGAAGGCUGUCUGAAACCAUCGGCUGACAUCCUUCUCUGUGUGCAUGUAUGCACUAUCUACGGGAAAUUCAGCUCCAACCGGUUGUCUCUACAGCUCCCUUAAUCUUCUCCUCCCUCCUCCUGGCAUUGGCAUGUGUCCCAGGACUGCAGCGAGGAGUGCUUACCAACAAAGGUGCUGGCAUCUGCAUUUGUUUCACAGCCACAAACCUAAUGGUUCCAUGAUUUUGGCGAGCAAAACUGUCAAAAUGCCUGAGCACAAGAGAUCACAAGAUGAGCCAAGGCAUAGUGUGCAUGCCUUCCUUCCCAGCACUCGGAAGGCAGAGGCAAGGGGAUCUCUGUGGGUUCAAGGCCAGCCUGAAUCACAAGGUGUACUGGGGAUUCUUUUUUAUUGUUUUCCUUUUGCUAUCUGGAAUAGUUUGAGAUUGUAUUUGAUCAGUGCAUUAAACAAC